rnacentral:lncRNA from 7 species
GUUGUAAAGGGGUAUGAGAUGUUAACUUGACCUAGGUGAGUCUAAAUAGGGGUGGUGGUGCACACAUGGUAAAAAUAGUGCUAGGUAAACCUAAGACCAUGAAAAAGUUUGAAAGAAAACCUAACUUAACAAAUGUUUGAAAAGAGCGGCUUAGAAAGCAUGUAGCAGCACUAGAUGUGUUUGGAGCUAUACCGGAUAGAAUCUAGAUGAAGAGUGCUCUUGUUAGAGAGAUCUUUAAUUGAAGGUCCAUAUGAACAAGAUCAAUGUUUAAGAUAUUUGUUUAUGUUAAGGGUCUCAAUCGAAG